rnacentral:tRNA from 1 species
UAUAAAUUAUAAGGUUACCCUUCUGUGUUU